CCGGUACUUCCACUUAGAGAUUCUCUUAGCAUUUAGCAACUAGAGACGAGAAUGGCUCUAGCAGGGGCGUUGUCAUUUCGUAGUUAGUAAGGGUAAAAAUAUUAUUGGGCUGUUUGCACAGGUACCACAUGAGGGAAACCUCGUUUUCCAUUCUUCAACCUCCCUUUCUCUCUCAUUAACUUCCUUCUUAAUCUUCCCAUAAAGAAUUUAAAAUAGUUAACUUCCCUCUCUCUAUACUCCCUUCUCUCUCUCUCUCUCUCUAUCACUCAAUUUCACGUUCUUGUCGCUUCUAUUCUAGGUCUCCUGUCGUUUGUGAUUGUUCUUUGUUUGGUGCUUGUUGUUCAGGCAUCGACAUCUUUCUCCUGCUAAUACAGGACAAAUGGGAUGAAAAAGGGGUGAUGCUUCUCGUUUAGCGGUUGGUAGUAGGGCGAAGUUGGGGCUCACAAUGAAGGGAAUUACACAGGAUUUUCAGGAAGAAGGUGUAAAUGUUGGUGAUAAAAGCCAAAAAGCGGUUGCUGCUAAUAAAAGCCAGAAAAAGGUUGCAGCUGGUAAAAGAAAAUUGUUUGUAGAUAAGAACAUACUUGAGAAAAGCAGUAAAAAGAGGUAAGGACAAGGGGUUGAACCUUCCUAUCAAGUGACCUACAAGAUUGAGUUGCUUGCACAUGGAAUUAGGGAAGGGGGAAAAACUAUUAAAAGAUUCAAAUGGGGUGCAAGUGAAGAUGAAUCAGAGCAAGGAAGUGAAGAAGAUGGAGGUUGUAGUGAUGAGCAGGAUACUGAGGAUGAAGAGUUGCAGCAUUUGGACUGGAAACUCAAUAAGGCAAGGCUUGAGCAAGCAAGUUGAAGAAGAAAAUGUCAAAAGCAAUGGAAGCUAAAUUGAAAAAGGCUAUCAGGGCCACGGUGUGGGAUCCGCAGCGGGUGGCGGUUGAUAAUUGUCCACUUGGAGUUAUUGUGACAAAGAAGGAGCGGCCUGGUAGUAGAUACCCAAUCACAUUUUUGUUCCAAGGUGUGUUUUGUCAACAUUCACUCAUUGAUUUGUGUUAUGAUAGUGGGAAUUCAAUGUGUUGGUAUCACAGUUUGUGUUUACUAUUGUGUUGAACAACCUGCAAAUGUCAUAUGUCGCAUGCAUGCAUUCAUCAAGGUUAAUGAUGGACUGGAUCCAACAAGGAAAAAUGCAGUUCAAGAAAUGGGGUUAGGUUCACUUCUGAACUUGAAGGUGAAUCGAUUAGACAAGAAGUUCUGCUAUUGGUUGCAUACUAGGGUGGAUCAUGUGAGUAGUGUGAUGCAAUUUGGGGAUGGUGUGGAGUUGCCUCUAUGUCCCAUGCAGUGGAAUUGUGUGUUAGGAAUACGGUAAACACGCGAGCCUUUGCCGCUAACUUGUGAAAAGCUGGACAUAAACAUGAACAAAAAAGUUAAGCUGAUUGGCAAAUGGUUUGGAGUUUUGGAUACACAGAGAAGGACAGACAUCUCACUUGGGCAGGUCGUAGAUGCGAUAAUUUGUCGUUCUCAUUGGUGUCGGCCGUUGCGAUAGCUCAUGAGGUGGAGCUGUACAAUUAGGAAGAGUUUAGCUAUGGUUGGCUGAUGGCAUAUCAGACAAAUUUUCAGCGGAAGUUUGGGAAGUAUGGCUUUGUUACUGGUUGUGGUGGGUGUACGCUAUUUUUACAACUAUUUUACGUUGACAAUUUGAGUUUGACUCCCUAUUCAUGGGGUGAGAUGCCGAGGAUUAAUGUAUGGACGCAGGAGAGAGUGAGCGGUGUUAUUAAAGAAGAAGAGAGGUUGUCUGGUGACUAUGAGAAGUUGAAGCGCCAUCCUAGCCUUGCGAGGGAUAAGAGAUUGUCGCAGGAGCUAGUUGGAUACUCAAUGAAGGAUUUGAUUGUUAGAAAGGUAUGUGAUGUUGGUUGAAGUUGAUGUCAAUAGAUAUUUUAGUUUUGCAUGUCUUUUGUUCCAGGUUGAGCUUGUGUAGGUAGUGAAAGCCUUAACUCCUUGGUAAGAAUCAAUCAAGCGCUGUCUGGGGACAUUGUCCAAGAAAAGGGUGAAAAGUGAAAGUAGUAGGGGAAGUCAUCCUUUAAAGGGACUGAUAGCAAGUGCAGAGGCUGCAUUGAAGGGGGCUAAUGUAGCAGCACAGAAGAAAAGUGUUCAAUGGGAUGACCUGGGUAAUAGGAUUGUGGCAGGUGAUCCUUGAUGACGAAUUAUGACAAUUUAUCCUCUAUAAAUGAGGUGCUUCCGAGUAUAUAGAGUGAAGGGGUUGUUGCUGAAGCUAAUGCUGGGCUGGGUGGGAAGAGAGAAUGCAGGGGGAGAGAAUGCAAGAGGAGAGAAUGCAGGGUUGUUAUGGAAUAAGAAUCCAAUAGAUGGGGAAGGAGAGAUCGAUUGUAAAGGGGGAAGAAAUCAAGAGAUGAUAGUGAAAACAUUGCAGAAGAUGGGGAGAAUAAUGCAAGAGAGAAGAAUUAUGGAGAGGAUGUUGAAGCUGGGGAAAAGAAUAAAGAAGAGAACAAUAGGAAAAAUCGUGUGGCUGAUGGGGAGGCUAGGAGAGAAAGGUGCGCUGAUGUUGAGAGUUCGGAAGACAAAGGUGUACUGCUGAGGGAUGGGGAUAAAGAAGGUGAAGUGCAGCAGGGUAACCAAGGCAACAAAAAAAACGAGGACAACAGUCUUUCUUGGGGGAAAGGGAAUCCAAGGAAGGCAGAGAGGGGUAGGACCAGGAAUUAUUGAGUUGUGGGGCGGAAUGUAAACACGUUGAUAAAGAAUUGGAAAGUUAGGGAUGAUGGUUUAAGCGGGGUAGUUUAUCUGAUCCUGUGCGACGGGAUGGAUGCAAUAGUUGGGGAUUUCCAUGGUGUUCAGAAUGUGCGAGAACAGGACCGUUUAAUAAAAGAAGUAGAGGCACAUAACGUUGCAACGAAGAAGCAUGGCCAAAGUUUCAAAGGCCUGUCUAUCAUCGACAUUAGAGUGGUUUUUGUACCCGUUCUGCAACAGGACCACUGAUGGUGUCUCGCUGUGGAUUUUAGGGAUGAGUGCUUAUGGUACAUUGAUACCAUGUUCUUUGAUCCUAAUACACAACACAGAGAUGUCCUUGAAAAGAUGGCGCUAGGCAUCGAUGCUAUUCUGCAGAACUAUGACAUCACAUAGGAAGGAUGGAAGCUUGUAGACUGGAAAACUGAUGCUAUAAAAAUCAUGGAACCGUAUGACAAUCAAAGCUGUGGUGUCAUCAUGUUGUUGGGUAUUAAAGAAUGCGCGUAUCAGUUCACUCAUCACUUAGGUGUGGUAUGAUCCAAAUUUGGGUGGACAUUUGUUUUGUUGUCUUAUUUAUGGAUUGAUAUGCCCAUUUGGGUUCCAUAUGUGAUGGAAUUUUUUUUCCUUAUGACAAGGGAGUGUGGAUGUUGCCCGAAACUCUCUCUUGUAUGAUGAUCUUUACAACGAUGAGAACGAAUUAAGACUCACAUUUCUGGCGUUGCUUGGGGUCGAGUCAGACUCGGUUUGAUUAUGAAAAUGUUGUUUGUUUGGAGAUGAUUAAAAUGAUGUUUCUUUUGUUUUCUAAACUUUUGAGGAUUCACAAUGUGUUGUUGCGGGGCUAAUUUUGGAUUCGUCUCCACUUUGGAGAUGUUAACAUGACUUUGUUAGAAUGUUUUAGAAUUUGGUAUUUACAAUUUAGUACUUUGUACAGUAAAUUAAAGGAUUAUAGUAUUUAUAUGGUAAAUGUUGGUAUAUGUAUUUUGAAUGGUAAUACUUGGUCUAUAUUAGUGGAAUGUGAGUAUGAUAUUUCGUUUUAAAAAUAAUUAAAUUAAUUUUGAAAAGAAAAAAGAAAUUUUGUAUGAAAUACUGGCAGCACUUUACAAUUUUGUGUCAAAUGUGAUAAAAAUUUUCGCGGGCAUAUAUGAAUUGAUUAAUAAUUUAUACGUAAAAAAAAACUUAUGUUAUUCGACCAUUAUCAUAUUUCAAUUGUGGUUUGCAAAGUU